rnacentral:pre_miRNA from 1 species
UCCUAUGAAUGAGCAAAGGAAAUUGUUUCUUGAGAUGGAAUCUAUCCCUGGUGAAGAUACUGUGAA